GACGAACGCUGGCGGCGUGCUUAACACAUGCAAGUCGAACGGAAAGGCCCUGCUUUUGUGGGGUGCUCGAGUGGCGAACUGGUGAGUAACACGUGAGUAACCUGCCCUUGACUUUGGGAUAACUUCAGGAAACUGGGGCUAAUACCGGAUAGGAGCUCCUGAUGCAUGGUGGGGGUUGGAAAGUUUCGGCGGUUGGGGAUGGACUCGCGGCUUAUCCGCUUGUUGGUGGGGUAGUGGCUUACCAAGGCUUUGACGGGUAGCCGGCCUGAGAGGGUGACCGGCGACAUGGGGACUGAGAUACGGCCCAGACUCCUACGGGAGGCAGCAGUGGGGAAUAUUGCACAAUGGGGGGAAGCCUGAUGCAGCAACGCCGCGUGCGGGAUGACGGCCUUCGGGUUGUAAACCGCUUUCGCCGGUGACGAAGCGUGAGUGACGGUAAUGGGUAAAGAAGCACCGGCUAACUACGUG
rnacentral:rRNA from 1 species